AACUCUUCUUAUUCUCAAACUCUUUUUCACGCAAAACCGUCUCUCACUGCAAACUCAAUCUUCACUAUAAACCCUUCUCUCACUGCAAAUUCUUCUUCACAGUAAAUCUCUUCGCCAAACACUUCUCACGAACCCAGAAAUCUCUUCGUCGAGUCCUUCACAUAAAACCCAGAAUUCGUACUGUUGUCACGAACCCUUCCUUGCAAAUUUGAAACGCUAAAUUUCUGGAAGGUGCUACUCAUUCAUAUCCACUUGCAAUAUAUCAUGCUCCUCAACUUGUUGGAAUUACAACCUCGAAUCUCGAAGUCAGUGAUAAGUUGAAAAUUCAUUACCUUGGUAUUUCCUGUUGCUCAAAAGGAAUUUUGUGGAUUCAAUCAUUUUACAACAUUUGUGUGCUAUAGAAUUAUUUUAUAAUCUGAGGUUCUACACAAAAUUAUAAGCUAUGAGGUUUGGUACAUCUCUCACUCUUCAUUCUCAAACAUAGGAAAUUCACACAAAGGUUCAAGUUAUUGACAUCUAUCUAGUCUCUUUUUAAUCCACACAAAGGCUUUACAAAAUGCUGCUUAUAAAGCUGAUUGGUAUGUUCUCUAUAUAGUGUGCAAUAUGUCACAAUCUACGAAAGUUGUUCAUGAGUGUUGGAAGAAAUUCACAUGUUUAUAUAACUGGUUAUUGAAAGAGUCUGCAACUCUGCAUCAAUAUACUUUGUUGGAACUGAAGUUUUACAUUGAGAAAAGUAUUUACCGACUAGACGUUCACAUUUGAUCAUAUUCAAUUUUAGAGCCAAAAGCAACAAAUAGUUAUGAGUGCGGCUAUUAUGUCAUGAUACACAUGUUGAACAUUGUAUCUACUGGUGUUGUUGGUUCAUGGACCCAAGUACGGUUACAAUUUUAAUGAUAUGCAAUUGUCCCAACACAUUAUAUGAAGUUUUUUCAAGACUUAGAAUAAUUCAUUAUUGUGUUGGUUCUCUCUGUGUUAGAAUUGUAAUUAGUUUGUAGUUAGUUACUUAUUUCUUCAUGAGUGAUAUUACCCCUUAAAUUAGUUUGUAAAUUUGUUCUUAUGUAAUUUAAAUUGGGGAAAAUAAAUUACUCUCAUUUGG